rnacentral:lncRNA from 1 species
GCUGUUGAUUGGAAUCUGUAGAGCCAACCCAGGCGGGACCAAACAAUACGUGAUCCUCCGCCCCCCCGCCGUGGUACUUCCCGGAGCGAACUGUUCCCUCUCCGCAUCGCGCAAUGGUAUGUCCCGGAGCUGCAUUGUCUUAUUAUUAACUCUUCAUUCUCACCCCUCACGCUGUCCGUGUGUGUGCGACCUAGGAAGGGGUGUUUCUUGUCAACGUCCCAGGAACCGUUCAAUCUUCGGUUCACGCCAACACCACUAAAUAAACUCAUGUCUUCCUCCUCCUGCCCACGUUCCAUCCCCGUCUCUCCCUCCCAUGCCCCCCAGUCUCAGCC